GACGAACGCUGGCGGCGUGCCUAAUACAUGCAAGUCGAACGCUGAAGAGAGGAGCUUGCUCUUCUUGGAUGAGUUGCGAACGGGUGAGUAACGCGUAGGUAACCUGCCUUGUAGCGGGGGAUAACUAUUGGAAACGAUAGCUAAUACCGCAUAACAAUAGGUGACACAUGUCAUUUAUUUGAAAGGGGCAAUUGCUCCACUACAAGAUGGACCUGCGUUGUAUUAGCUAGUAGGUGAGGUAACGGCUCACCUAGGCGACGAUACAUGGCCGACCUGAGAGGGUGAUCGGCCACACUGGGACUGAGACACGGCCCAGACUCCUACGGGAGGCAGCAGUAGGGAAUCUUCGGCAAUGGGGGCAACCCUGACCGAGCAACGCCGCGUGAGUGAAGAAGGUUUUCGGAUCGUAAAGCUCUGUUGUAAGUCAAGAACGAGUGUGAGAGUGGAAAGUUCACACUGUGACGGUAGCUUACCAGAAAGGGACGGCUAACUACGUG
rnacentral:rRNA from 1 species